CACCAUAUCACAUUGAAACACCAGUUCUUGUACGAUCACUGAAGUUAAGGCAGUGCUGAGCCUGUUCAGUACCUAAAUGGGUUACUGCUUGGGAAUACCAGAUGCUGCAAG